GCCCCAGUAGCUUAAAUAAAAGCGCCGGUCUUGUAAUCCAGAAACGGGGGUUCAAAUCCCCCCUGAGGCC
rnacentral:tRNA from 2 species